UAGGACUGCUAACACGUGUGAGGAACACCGACUACUUCCCUGACCUCUGAUGUCAUUUUCCCAGCACUCCCUAACUGAGCCGCAGGAGGGAAAGUGGUUUCUGAAUCCAUCGGAUAUGUCGGAUUUCUUUGUGGCAUCCACUCCAUCGCUCAGCAGCCAGCCAUGAUGUCAUAAGCCCAUCAGAUUUCCGAUUCCUCACAGAAGAGACAAACACUUCGGAUGCAGCCAACAAGCACGAAAGGACAGAUCGGCUGCAUCAACUCA